rnacentral:misc_RNA from 1 species
CUAUUGCUGCUAAUUGUAGGUAAGAAAAAUGUUCUUGUGACCUUUUUCUUUCCUUCUUUUCUUAGUUUUCCACUAUAUUUUUUUGAGCUUUUUGAUGGUCUGGCUUUAUCUAUUUAGCUUUUGUUUUGUUCUAAUGUGGCGUUGAUUAUUUGGGUUGCUUUAAAAGAAUGUUCUCUUUUUUUUUUUGACUGUCUCAUGAGGUUUCUUUUACCUUGAUUUUGUAGAAUUGCUUUUAGAAGUAG